AGUGAACGCUGGCGGUAGGCCUAACACAUGCAAGUCGAACGGCAGCACAGUAAGAGCUUGCUCUUACGGGUGGCGAGUGGCGGACGGGUGAGGAAUACAUCGGAAUCUACUUUUUCGUGGGGGAUAACGUAGGGAAACUUACGCUAAUACCGCAUACGACCUACGGGUGAAAGCAGUGGAUCUUCGGACCUUGCGCGAUUGAAUGAGCCGAUGUCGGAUUAGCUAGUUGGCGGGGUAAAGGCCCACCAAGGCGACGAUCCGUAGCUGGUCUGAGAGGAUGAUCAGCCACACUGGAACUGAGACACGGUCCAGACUCCUACGGGAGGCAGCAGAGGGGAAUAUUGGACAAUGGGCGCAAGCCUGAUCCAGCCAUACCGCGUGGGUGAAGAAGGCCUUCGGGUUGUAAAGCCCUUUUGUUGGGAAAGAAAAGCAGCAGGUUAAUACCCCGCUGUUCUGACGGUACCCAAAGAAUAAGCACCGGCUAACUUCGUG
rnacentral:rRNA from 1 species